rnacentral:tRNA from 1 species
CGCGGGGUAGAGCAGCCAGGUAGCUCGUUGGGCUCAUAACCCAAAGGUCGGAGGUUCAAAUCCUCCCCCCGCUA